UGAGGAAUAUUGGUCAAUGGGCGGAAGCCUGAACCAGCCAAGUAGCGUGAGGGAUGACUGCCCUAUGGGUUGUAAACCUCUUUUAUAAGGGAAUAAAAUACGGGACGUGUCCUGUUUUGCAUGUACCUUAUGAAUAAGGACCGGCUAAUUCCGUGCCAGCAGCCGCGGUAAUACGGAAGGUCCGGGCGUUAUCCGGAUUUAUUGGGUUUAAAGGGAGCGUAGGCCGGAGAUUAAGCGUGUUGUGAAAUGUAGACGCUCAACGUCUGCACUGCAGCGCGAACUGGUUUCCUUGAGUACGCACAAAGUGGGCGGAAUUCGUGGUGUAGCGGUGAAAUGC
rnacentral:rRNA from 1 species